UACGGGGGGGGGCAAGCGUUGUUCGGAAUUACUGGGCGUAAAGGGCUCGUAGGUGGCCAACUAAGUCGGACGUGAAAUCCCUCAGCUUAACUGGGGAACUGCGUCCGAUACUGGAUGGCUUGAGUUUGGGAGAGGGAUGCGGAAUUCCAGGUGUAGCGGUGAGAUGCGUAGAUAUCUGGAGGAACACCGGUGGCGAAGGCGGCAUCCUGGACCAACACUGACACUGAGGAGCGAAAGCCAGGGGAGCAAACGGG
rnacentral:rRNA from 1 species